rnacentral:rRNA from 1 species
CAGUCGACGAACUUCCGUUAAUUGAUCAGGACGUGCUUGCACUGAAUGAGAUUUUAACACGAAGUGAGUGGCGGACGGGUGAGUAACACGUGGGUAACCUGCCCAGAAGCAGGGGAUAACACCUGGAAACAGAUGCUAAUACCGUAUAACAGAGAAAACCGCCUGGUUUUCUUUUAAAAGAUGGCUCUGCUAUCACUUCUGGAUGGACCCGCGGCGCAUUAGCUAGUUGGUGAGGUAACGGCUCACCAAGGCGAUGAUGCGUAGCCGACCUGAGAGGGUAAUCGGCCACAUUGGGACUGAGACACGGCCCAGACUCCUACGGGAGGCAGCAGUAGGGAAUCUUCCACAAUGGACGCAAGUCUGAUGGAGCAACGCCGCGUGAGUGAAGAAGGGUUUCGGCUCGUAAAGCUCUGUUGUUAAAGAAGAACGUGGGUGAGAGUAACUGUUCACCCAGUGACGGUAUUUAACCAGAAAGCCACGGCUAACUACGUGCCAGCAGCCGCGGUAAUACGUAGGUGGCAAGCGUUAUCCGGAUUUAUUGGGCGUAAAGCGAGCGCAGGCGGUCUUUUAAGUCUAAUGUGAAAGCCUUCGGCUCAACCGAAGAAGUGCAUUGGAAACUGGGAGACUUGAGUGCAGAAGAGGACAGUGGAACUCCAUGUGUAGCGGUGAAAUGCGUAGAUAUAUGGAAGAACACCAGUGGCGAAGGCGGCUGUCUGGUCUGUAACUGACGCUGAGGCUCGAAAGCAUGGGUAGCGAACAGGAUUAGAUACCCUGGUAGUCCAUGCCGUAAACGAUGAUUACUAAGUGUUGGAGGGUUUCCGCCCUUCAGUGCUGCAGCUAACGCAUUAAGUAAUCCGCCUGGGGAGUACGACCGCAAGGUUGAAACUCAAAAGAAUUGACGGGGGCCCGCACAAGCGGUGGAGCAUGUGGUUUAAUUCGAAGCUACGCGAAGAACCUUACCAGGUCUUGACAUCUUCUGCCAACCUAAGAGAUUAGGCGUUCCCUUCGGGGACAGAAUGACA